UACAGAGGGGGCAAGCGUUGUUCGGAAUUACUGGGCGUAAAGGGCGCGUAGGCGGCCUUCUAAGUCAGACGUGAAAUCCCCGGGCUCAACCCGGGAACUGCGUCUGAUACUGGAAGGCUUGAAUCCGGGAGAGGGAUGUGGAAUUCCAGGUGUAGCGGUGAAAUGCGUAGAUAUCAGGAGGAACACCGAUGGCGAAGGCAGAUCUCUGGGCCGUAACUGACGCUGAGGAGCGAAAGCAUGGGGAGCGAACAGG
rnacentral:rRNA from 1 species